GGCGAGGUAGCCAAACGGCUGGGCAAGUGAUUGCAAAUCACUCUUAUGUCGGUUCGAAUCCGAUCCUCGCCUCCA
rnacentral:tRNA from 1 species